CUCUCGAGAUAGGUUUCUUAUACAACCUGGUAGAGUUAAAGUUUUAAAAAUGUCCACUCUAUAUGAGGAAUAUUUUAAAGUAGUGUAUGCUGCAAAUUGUAUUGUCAUCAGAAUGGUUAAUAUUUUAAUGUAGUAAUAUUGAAGGCAAAUGAGAAACAUAAAUGUUGUUGACGCAAGCUAUGUUUGGGUGCAAUGGCUCGUCAUUGUUAAACAUGUUGAGCAAAUCUAUUACCUUGACUAUUACAUACGGCAAUGAAAAUGAUCAUACAACCAAUUUGCGGUGACUGACAAUGCUGGGGUCAUGUUUAGAUGUUGCACAAUUACGUACAACCACAAUCACAACCACAGUGAAUCUCAUCUUGAGUAUGACUAAAAAUGGACAGUCCUUUUGGACCAUUGGUUUAUAGUUUUAUUGUAGUUACCUACAACUAACAAGUAAAAAAAAAAUGUUAAAAAUCUUAUGAUGUUUCUGGAAUAAAGUGUCUGUUUUUAGGUUUCUUUUAAAAUGCUCAACAAUCAAGGUAGCCACCAGGGUUCAAAUCUCCGAAGCUGGUGGUAUUGGCACAUGUUGCUCCACUUGUAGCUUUGAGAAGAUUUGGAUUGUCACGAAUGAGCCACGCUAGUCCACAGUCACAAGAAAAGGGAUCUAAUGAUUUUGGGACAUGAGGUGUAAUCUUUUGUGUUUACAUAAUAUAUUUUGGCUUCCAAUGUUUUCUUACUGUUCACAAGGUAGAUAGUGCCAGUGGAAUUUGCUAUGCCAGCCAUCUGUGUCAAAAUGGGCUGGAAAACCAAGUAAUCAAAGGAAACAAGAUUGUUGUUGGUCAAAUCGAUUUCGGCAUAGCUGUAAUCUCCUGUUUAGAAAAAAAACUACUCAAACCUUGAAAAGCAUCAGCUUCAAUUGCGUCCAAAGACAUAUUGUUGAGGUAAACUUUCCUCGGAGCAACCAACGAAAGUGCACCGGUGGUGAUUAACGUAAUAUUAUUAUUGUUUAAUGCAAAAUUUAGAAGGCUGGGUAGCGCAGUGACCUGUUGUGGGACUUGAGUAAUCAUGUUUUUCGAUAAAGUCAGCACUUCUAAGGUGUUGGCCGAUAAGCUGGAAACGAAAGCAUUUAAUAUAAUUCCGGUUGCCAAA